rnacentral:rRNA from 1 species
UACAGAGGUCUCAAGCGUUGUUCGGAUUCAUUGGGCGUAAAGGGUGCGUAGGCGGCGUGGUAAGUCGGAUGUGAAAUCUCGGAGCUUAACUCCGAAACUGCAUUCGAUACUGCCGUGCUUGAGGACUGGAGAGGAGACUGGAAUUUACGGUGUAGCAGUGAAAUGCGUAGAUAUCGUAAGGAAGACCAGUGGCGAAGGCGGGUCUCUGGACAGUUCCUGACACUGAGGCACGAAGGCCCAGGGGGAGCAAACGGG